rnacentral:other from 1 species
AUAAUCCUGAAAUGCUCGGAUAAACCUAUUAUUUUGAACCUACAUCGGACAUAAGGGAGUUUGGCGUUUGAAAGCUGAUAUCAGGCCCCAGGUUAAUUCCGCCAUUCGGUACUAAGCGAAUGCAACGGCGGGGGAAGGUUGAAGCUUUCGGCAGAACACCCACCUAGCUAAGGCUAGGUGUCAAAAUAUAGGCGAACGGCAUUUCGGGUGCUUA